UAACAAUGAUACCCUUAGUAGCGGCGAGCGAAGUGGGUAAAGCUCAAGUUUAAAACCUGUUUGUCCUAGACAAACCGGAUUGUAAACUAAGGACGUGCUAUCCAGGCUCUUUGGACCUUCAAGUCCUUUGGAAUAAGGCUUCACAGAGGGUGACAAUCCCGUAGAGGGUCUUGAAAGAGUCUAUUGCGAUGCAUGCUCCAAGAGUCAGGUUGUUUGGGAAUGCAGCCUAAAGUGGGAGGUAAAUCCCUCCUAAAGCUAAAUAUUGGCGAGAGACCGAUAGCAAACAAGUACCGUGAGGGAAAGUUGAAAAGGACUUUGAAAAGAGAGUCAAAAGUACGUGAAAUUGCUUAAAGGGAAGCGUUUGGAGCUAG
rnacentral:rRNA from 1 species